GACGAACGCUGGCGGCGCGCCUAACACAUGCAAGUCGAACGAGAGAUGAGGAGCUUGCUCUUCAAAUCGAGUGGCGAACGGGUGAGUAACGCGUGAGGAACCUGCCUCAAAGAGGGGGACAACAGUUGGAAACGACUGCUAAUACCGCAUAAGCCCACGGCUCGGCAUCGAGCAGAGGGAAAAGGAGCAAUCCGCUUUGAGAUGGCCUCGCGUCCGAUUAGCUAGUUGGUGAGGUAACGGCCCACCAAGGCAACGAUCGGUAGCCGGACUGAGAGGUUGAACGGCCACAUUGGGACUGAGACACGGCCCAGACUCCUACGGGAGGCAGCAGUGGGGAAUAUUGCACAAUGGGGGAAACCCUGAUGCAGCGACGCCGCGUGGAGGAAGAAGGUCUUCGGAUUGUAAACUCCUGUUGUUGAGGAAGAUAAUGACGGUACUCAACAAGGAAGUGACGGCUAACUACGUGCCAGCAGCCGCGGUAAAACGUAGGUCACAAGCGUUGUCCGGAAUUACUGGGUGUAAAGGGAGCGCAGGCGGGAGAACAAGUUGGAAGUGAAAUCCAUGGGCUCAACCCAUGAACUGCUUUCAAAACUGUUUUUCUUGAGUAGUGCAGAGGUAGGCGGAAUUCCCGGUGUAGCGGUGGAAUGCGUAGAUAUCGGGAGGAACACCAGUGGCGAAGGCGGCCUACUGGGCACCAACUGACGCUGAGGCUCGAAAGUGUGGGUAGCAAACAGGAUUAGAUACCCUGGUAGUCCACACCGUAAACGAUGAUUACUAGGUGUUGGAGGAUUGACCCCUUCAGUGCCGCAGUUAACACAAUAAGUAAUCCACCUGGGGAGUACGACCGCAAGGUUGAAACUCAAAGGAAUUGACGGGGGCCCGCACAAGCAGUGGAGUAUGUGGUUUAAUUCGACGCAACGCGAAGAACCUUACCAAGUCUUGACAUCCCUUGACGAUGCUGGAAACAGUAUUUCUCUUCGGAGCAAGGAGACAGGUGGUGCAUGGUUGUCGUCAGCUCGUGUCGUGAGAUGUUGGGUUAAGUCCCGCAACGAGCGCAACCCUUAUGGUCAGUUACUACGCAAGAGGACUCUGGCCAGACUGCCGUUGACAAAACGGAGGAAGGUGGGGAUGACGUCAAAUCAUCAUGCCCUUUAUGACUUGGGCUACACACGUACUACAAUGGCGUUAAACAAAGAGAAGCAAGACCGCGAGGUGGAGCAAAACUCAGAAACAACGUCCCAGUUCGGACUGCAGGCUGCAACUCGCCUGCACGAAGUCGGAAUUGCUAGUAAUCGUGGAUCAGCAUGCCACGGUGAAUACGUUCCCGGGCCU
rnacentral:rRNA from 1 species